GGGGUUGUAGCUCAGUGGUAGAGCACUUGCCUAGCAUGCACAAGGCCCUGGUUCAAUCCCUAGCACCCCA
rnacentral:tRNA from 1 species